AGUGAACGCUGGCGGUAGGCCUAACACAUGCAAGUCGAACGGCAGCACAGUAAGAGCUUGCUCUUACGGGUGGCGAGUGGCGGACGGGUGAGGAAUACAUCGGAAUCUACUUUUUCGUGGGGGAUAACGUAGGGAAACUUACGCUAAUACCGCAUACGACCUACGGGUGAAAGCAGGGGAUCUUCGGACCUUGCGCGAUUGAGUGAGCCGAUGUCGGAUUAGCUAGUUGGCGGGGUAAAGGCCCACCAAGGCGACGAUCCGUAGCUGGUCUGAGAGGAUGAUCAGCCACACUGGAACUGAGACACGGUCCAGACUCCUACGGGAGGCAGCAGUCGGGAAUAUUGGACAAUGGGCGCAAGCCUGAUCCAGCCAUACCGCGUGGGUGAAGAAGGCCUUCGGGUUGUAAAGCCCUUUUGUUGGGAAAGAAAAGCAGCAGGUUAAUACCCCGCUGUUCUGACGGUACCCAAAGAAUAAGCACCGGCUAACUUCGUG
rnacentral:rRNA from 1 species